rnacentral:rRNA from 1 species
CAAGCGGUGGAGCAUGUGGUUUAAUUCGAAGCAACGCGAAGAACCUUACCAAAUCUUGACAUCCUCUGACCGCCCUGGAGACAGGGCUUCCCUUCGGGGCAGAGUGACAGGUGGUGCAUGGUUGUCGUCAGCUCGUGUCGUGAGAUGUUGGGUUAAGUCCCGCAACGAGCGCAACCCUUAAGCUUAGUUGCCAGCAUUCAGUUGGGCACUCUAAGUUGACUGCCGGUGACAAACCGGAGGAAGGUGGGGAUGACGUCAAAUCAUCAUGCCCCUUAUGAUUUGGGCUACACACGUGCUACAAUGGACAGGUGACAAAGGGCAGCGACGCCGUGAGGCCAAGCGAAUCCCAUAAAACUGUUCUCAGUUCGGAUUGGAGUCUGCAACUCGACUCCAUGAAGCUGGAAUCGCUAGUAAUCGUGGAUCAGCAUGCCACGGUGAAUACGUUCCCGGGGUCUUGUACACACC